rnacentral:rRNA from 1 species
GACAGAGGAUGCAAGCGUUAUCCGGAAUUACUGGGCGUAAAGCGUGCGCAGGCGGUUUUGUAAGUCUGACGUGAAAUCCCCGGGCUCAACCUGGGAAUUGCGUUGGAGACUGCAAGGCUAGAAUCUGGCAGAGGGGGGUAGAAUUCCACGUGUAGCAGUGAAAUGCGUAGAGAUGUGGAGGAACACCGAUGGGCGAAGGCAGCCCCUGGGUCAAGAUUGACGCUCAUGCACGAAAGCGUGGGGAGCAACAGGGAUUAGAAACCCGAUA